rnacentral:rRNA from 1 species
GACAGAGGUGCCAAGCGUUAGGCGGAAUCACUGGGCUUAAAGCGUGUGUAGGCGGAUCGUUAAGUACCUUGUGAAAUCCCACGGCUCAACCGUGGAACUGCUGGGUAUACUGGCGGUCUUGAGCCACCUAGGGGCAACUGGAACAAGCGGUGGAGCGGUGAAAUGCGUAGAGAUCCGGAAGAACACCGGUGGCGAAGGCGGUCUGCUGGGCAGUAGCUGACACUGAGGCGCGACAGCGUGGGGAGCAAACAGG